rnacentral:rRNA from 1 species
UGAGUAACGCGUGGGUAACCUGCCUUGUACUGGGGGACAACAGUUGGAAACGACUGCUAAUACCGCAUAAGCGCACAGCUUCGCAUGAAGCAGUGUGAAAAACUCCGGUGGUACAAGAUGGACCCGCGUCUGAUUAGCUGGUUGGUGAGGUAACGGCCCACCAAGGCGACGAUCAGUAGCCGGCCUGAGAGGGUGAACGGCCACAUUGGGACUGAGACACGGCCCAAACUCCUACGGGAGGCAGCAUG